UGUUAAAAAUUUCAUCUAUUUGUAUUGUUAAAAACUAACGUGGCUGAUAAACUAACCAAACAAUAAUAUUAGCAUGCCAUGUUGACAUAUAAGGACGAAUUUUCAACAAUUGAAAUGGGUAAACUUUUUAACA
rnacentral:pre_miRNA from 1 species